rnacentral:tRNA from 1 species
GCAGCGGUGGUUCCGUGGUAGAAUUCUUGCCUUUCAACCAGAAGACCCAGGUUUGAUUCCUGGCCAAUGUA